AGUAAGAUGGUUGAGAAAUAGACAAUAGACUGUAAAUCUAUACACAAGGACUUAAUGAACCUUUCUUGCUA
rnacentral:tRNA from 1 species